AUUGAACGCUGGCGGCAGGCCUAACACAUGCAAGUCGAGCGAGCGGCGGACGGGUGAGUAAUGUAUGGGGACUGCCCGAUAGAGGGGGAUAACUACUGGAAACGGUGGCUAAUACCGCAUACUGUCGGAUAACCCAUAUGGGAUUAGCUAGUAGGUAAGGUAAUGGCUUACCUAGGCGACGAUCCCUAGCUGGUCUGAGAGGAUGAUCAGCCACAACGGGAAUGAGACCAGGCCCAGGCCCCAAGGGAGGCAGCAGUGGGGGAUAUUGCACAAUGGGCGCAAGCCUGAUGCAGCCAUGCCGGGUGGAUGAAGAAAGCCCUAGGGGUGUAAAGUACUUUCCGUCGGGAGGCGGUACCGACAGAAGAAGCCCCGGCUAACUCCGUGCCAGCAGCCGCGGUAAUAC
rnacentral:rRNA from 1 species